AUCUAGCCAAUGAGUCCCGAAUAGGACGAAACGUGCAUCCUGGAU
rfam:Trichobilharzia regenti genome assembly, scaffold: TRE_scaffold0036485